ACCUAAUUUUAUUACUACAUCGAAUUCAAAAGCAAACUUAACUAAUAAAUUAAAUAAAAUAAUAAUAAAAAGGAUUUCCAUACAGAAAUUGGCGCUCCAGCAGCAUCAUCAUACUUUUACCGUGCGACGAAGCUUCUUCUUCGUUCGCUCACUUCCGAGAUGCGUCGUUCUGCAUCGAGGAAAACGGGUCAAAGUAAUUCUACGGACUCCGCUGAUCCCUUUCUCUCUGCUUCUGGUAAAGCAUCUUCCAAAGAGAUGGAACGAAUUGACAACCUGUUUUACACAUAUGCAAAUAGAUCUUCUGGUGUGAUUGACCCAGAAGGAAUUGAAGCUCUUUGUUCAGAUUUGGAAGUCAAUCAUACUGAUGUUAGGGUCUUGAUGCUGGCUUGGAAAAUGAAAGCUGAAAAGCAAGGGUACUUUACUCUGGAGGAGUGGCGAAGGGGACUCAAAUCACUGAGGGCUGACAAUGUAAAUAAAUUAAAGAAGUCCCUCCCAGAGCUGGAGAAAGAGGUUAAAAGGCCAUCAAACUUUAUGGAUUUCUAUGCCUAUUCAUUCCGAUAUUGUUUGACAGAAGAGAAACAGAAGAGUGUGGACAUAGAGAGUGUCUGUGAACUGCUAGAUCUUGUUUUAGGAUCCCAAUGUCGUGCCCAGGUUGACUAUUUCAUUGAGUAUCUAAAGGUUCAAACUGAUUACAAGGUCAUAAACAUGGAUCAGUGGAUGGGCUUCUUCAGGUUCUGCAAUGAGUAACACAGAUGAUUAUCGAACUUGGGCUGAUCUUCCUGUAAGUUGGCUAUGCAAUUGCUCAGUCGCAUUCUUAUUGUCAAUGCAUAUAUAUUUCCAAGUGAUUUGAACCAUAAAUCAGUGGGUCGCAUUGAUUUGUUUUCUUCCUUGCUGUCGUGUCUUGAUGUUGCAGGCAAGGUAAAAGAAUAUACUCUGUCCUGACACUAUAACUUGGUCUAUACUAUACUGUAUUUUAUUUUGUAUUGUACUUGCUGCUGUAUGGUCAUAUUUUAAUUUUAAAAUUCAAAUAUUGUGUUGUGUUGCUUUCAGUCAAAGCUUUUGAUGUUAAACAUUUGUAUUUUAUGGUAUGUUUUUUUAUAGAUGCCUUGUCAUGUAUGAUUGUGUUUAGAUGGAUUAUUCAACGGUUCACUAGAUGAUGAUUUGAUGAAAAUUCAAAGGUAGAAAUUGAUUGGAUGUGUAGUGAUUUAGAGAUGGUAAUGUGAUUGAGAUGGAAGGUGAAUUCAGGAGCAACAAUUGGUAGCUUCUUGGUGGUGUUUGUUUGGCUUUUAGUCUUUGGGCAUACCACAUUUGAGUAUACAUGAUGCUUUUUAUGUAAUUGGAUAUUGCAUUACUCUUAAUUGGCCAAAAGACUUGAUCCUACCCAAUGUUUAAUCCA